rnacentral:rRNA from 1 species
UGGGGAAUAUUGCACAAUGGGCGAAAGCCUGAUGCAGCAACGCCGCGUGAGUGAUGAAGGCCUUCGGGUUGUAAAGCUCUGUCUUCUGGGACGAUAAUGACGGUACCAGAGGAGGAAGCCACGGCUAACUACGUGCCAGCAGCCGCGGUAAUACGUAGGCGGCAAGCGUUGUCCGGAUUUACUGGGCGUAAAGGAUGCGUAGGCGGAUGCUUAAGUCAGAUGUGAAAAUCCCGGGCUUAACUUGGGAACUGCAUGUGAAACUGGGUAUCUAGAGUGCGGGAGAGGAAAGUGGAAAUCCGAGUGUAGCGGUGAAAUGCGUAAGUAUUGGGCAGAACACCAGUGGCGAAGGCGACUUUCAGGACCGUAACGGGCGCUGAGGCAUGAAAGCG